rnacentral:rRNA from 1 species
UGCCAGCCGCCGCGGUAAGACGGAGGGUGCAAACGUUGUUCGGAAUCACUGGGCAUAAAGAGCACGUAGGCGGCUAAGUCAGUCUGGUGUGAAAGCCCCCGGCUCAACCGGGGAAUUGCAUCGGAUACUGCUUGGCUUGAGGACGGUUGGGGUGAGUGGAACUCCUGGUGGAGCGGUGAAAUGCGUAGAUAUCUGGAGGAACACCGGUGGCGAAAGCGGCUCACUGGACCGUAUCUGACGCUGAGGUGCGAAAGCUAGGGUAGCAAACGGGAUUAGAUA